AACAUCCAUCCAGAAGCCCACUGUAUUAUAGAGUAAUUGACUUCAAUUGUUUGAGUUGCUAUUAACCAAUGAAUGAAGUUUCCAGUAAUGUCAUUUGUAAUCUGGCUUUUAUCGUCUAUUUGCCUUCCCCUGAAUUAGCAUACUUUUAAAUAAAGCCAGCUUUUCCCACUAUCCUCAUGAAAGAAGAAUAUCUGGGUUUCGUCUAGAUUGGUAGGUCCAAACAAAUCCAUAUGUGUAGCACUUGCUUAAUCUGUCCAGAACAGAGGAAGGAAUUAUAUAGUCCUCUGGGAAUAACCACAUCGAAACAGAAGGAACGGCUAAACCAGGAGUCUAAGAUGAGCACCACUGAAUCUCUUAGCACAUCCUAGGAUGUCUCAGCCUCCUGGCAAGUUUCUCUUGGCGACCUGAUUGUGAAAGGUGGGAUCUUAGCUAUGCUUCACGCAGACCUGGCACCUGCUGAUUUUCUGGCGUUGAG
rnacentral:lncRNA from 1 species